rnacentral:misc_RNA from 1 species
GUGAACCUCUGGAUAUAUCAGUGAACCUCUGGAUAUAAGAGUGAACGUCUGGAUAUAACAGUGAACCUCUGGAUAUCAACGUGUACGCUUGGGGUCCACAUUUUCCAUCUAAGUAGGAUAGUUUGAACCGUGUUGGAGACGUCAUGAUUCAAUAGUUGCUCGCAGAUAUACAAACUGGGCACCAGAAUAGUGGCGUGGAUUCUGUAUACUGAAGAGCACGUCUAGAUAGUUAAGUGCGUAUUACGCUUAGUGAUAGCUAGCGAAUUAAGCUGCCGGAGAGAGAGAGAAUUUGUCUCAGGUAUAACGAACUGUAUAACUAAGAAGACUCGGGAUUGCCGACGGGAAGCACGGACAGUGAUGUGAAGCAACACAGAACAGACAAGUAUUCGCCAAGAAAUGGGAAAAUAUCGUGGGUAUUGUCAACUAAACUAUUGAUUAAUACAGUUGGCAAAGGUAGCGAUCGCAGCUGUAGUGAAGUUGACAGAGAUAGUGAAGGUGAAAAAGAUAGUGAAGGUGACAGAGAUAUUGAAGGUGACCAAGAGAUUGAAGGUGACAGAGAUAGUUAACACGAGGAAAACGACAGUGAAAUAGUCUACAAAAUGAUUAUCUCUGUGAUACUUGUUUCUCUUCUUCUGAAGCUCAUCACAGCAAAUGAAGAGAACUGUGGGCCGUCCAUCCGAGGUCAGUACCUACACUACGACGUGAGCUCUGACCCAGACUUCCAGCUGUGGCUUAAGAUGACACGAAAGAACACUUGGGUAUAUAUGAGAGUCGAGACAGUGGCCAGCCAUAGACCUCAGGUGUUGUCUCGUAACACUUUGUAUGUCCUGUCUAACACAGAGGAAUAUAGGCGCUUUCCAAAUGCUAACUACAGGAAUCUCCAUAAAAUAAAUAGGAUAAACAGAUUCUACAGCCUGAGCAUGUGGAGCAACGCCUCGAUGGAAUGGAUCUUCUGCAAGACUUCUAACAGUUCCCGUGCACCCAGCCUUCCGGCCUGCAACACUACAGAUGCACCCAGCCUUCCGGCCUGCAACACGGAAGCGGUGACAGUGUUGGUGGUGCUCGUGGUGGUGGUGCUGGUGUUGUUGGCAGCGGCCAUCGCUUACAUACACCACCUCAGGAAGACUCUCACUCAAUUCGUGGUGUCCCAGUUUAAGUACAACAAAUACAGCAAUGAAGACAGCAGUCAACCAGAGCCGUGGUCACCUCACACAAGACCGUCCAUCCAGGAUAACAUCUACGAGGAGUGGCAGGAGCGCCCACCUGCCGCCGGAGCCUCCCACAACAGCAGCACAAACAGCAUCUACGGUCAGGUGGUGAACCUCCCGGGGAAACACCAGCUGCCCUCCGACGGGAAUCCAAACUAUUAGUUACUCCACUAUGUCAGGCACAGCAACAGCGAGCACUAAGAACAGUCUAGCCUGUGAUAGUGUUACGGCAAGAACAGUCUAGCCUGUGAUAGUGUUACGGCAAGAACAGUCUAGCCUGUGAUAGUGUUACGGCAAGAACAGUCUAGCCUGUGAUAGUGUUACGGCAAGAACAGUCUAGCCUGUGAUAGUGUUACGGCAAGAACAGUCUAGCCUGUGAUAGUGUUACAGCGAGAACAGUCUAGCCUGUGAUAGUAUUACGGCAAGAACAGUCUAGCCUGUGAUAGUGUUACGGCAAGAACAGUUUAGCCUGUGAUAGUGUUACAGCGAGAACAGUCUAGCCUGUGAUAGUAUUACGGCAAGAACAGUCUAGCCUGUGAUAGUGUUACGGCAAGAACAGUCUAGCCUGUGAUAGUGUUACGGCAAGAAUAGUCUAGCUUGUGAUAGUGUUAAGGCAAGAACAGUCUAGCCUGUGAUAUUAUUACAGCAAGAAUAGUCUAGCCUGUGAUAGUGUUACGGCAAGAACAGUCUAGCCUGUGAUAGUGUUACGGCAAGAACAGUCUAGCCUGUGAUAGUGUUACGGCAAGAACAGUCUAGCCUGUGAUAGUGUUACGGCAAGAACAGUCUAGCCUGUGAUAGUGUUACGGCAAGAACAGUCUAGCCUGGCAUAAUAACACAGUAAGAACAGUCUAGCCUGGCAUAAUAACACAGUAAGAACAGUCUAGCCUGGCCUAGUAACACAGUAAGAACAGUCUAGCCUGGCCUAGUAACAAAGCAAGAACAGUUUAGCCUUACUUAAUAACACAGCAAGAACUGUCUAACAUGUCACAGUUAUACAACAAGAACAGUCUGGCCUGGUACAGUAAUAUAGCAACAAACUUUCUGGCCUGCUAUAGUUACAGAAGAAUAACAGUGUAGCCUAGUAUAGUAACAUAGCAAGAACAGUGUAGCAUGGCAUAGGGACAUAGCAAGAACAGUGUAGCCUGCCAUAGAUAAAUAGCAAGAACAGUGUAGCAUGGCAAAGGAACAAAACAAGAACAGUGUAGCCUGGCAUAGUUACAUAGCAAGAACAGUGUAGCCUGGCAUAGGAACAUAGCAAGAACAGUGUAGCCUGGCAUAGGAACAUAGCAAGAACAGUGUAGCAUGGCAUAGGAACAUAGCAAGAACAGUGUAGACUGGCAUAGGAACAUAGCAAGAACAGUGUAACCUGGCAUAGGAACAUAGCAAGAACAGUUUAGCCUGGCAUAGGAACAUAGCAAGAACAGUGUAGCCUGGCAUAGGAACAUAGCAAGAACAGUGUAGCCUGGCAUAGGAACAUAGCAAGAACAGUUUAGCCUGGCAUAGGAACAUAGCAAGAACAGUGUAGCCUGGCAUAGGAACAUAGCAAGAACAGUGUAGCCUGGCAUAGUUACAUAGCAAGAACAGUGUAGCCUAGCAUAGUUACAUAGCAAGAACAAUGUAGCCUAGCAUAGUUACAUAGCAAGAACAGUGUAGCCUGGCAUAGUUACAUAGCAAGAACAGUGUAGCCUGGCAUAGGAACAUAGCAAGAACAGUGUAGCCUGGCAUAGGAACAUAGCAAGAAUAGUGUAGCCUGGCAUAGGAACAUAGCAAGAACAGUGUAGCAUGGCAUAGGAACAUAGCAAGAACAGUGUAGCCUGGCAUAGGAACAUAGCAAGAACAGUGUAGCCUGGCAUAGGAACAUAGCAAGAACAGUGUAGCAUGGCAUAGGAACAUAGCAAGAACAGUGUAGCAUGGCAUAGGAACAUAGCAAGAACAGUGUAGCCUGGCAUAGGAACAUAGCAAGAACAGUGUAGCCUGGCAUAGGAACAUAGCAAGAAUUGUUCAUCAGAAUGGUUAUUUCAUUGUUCAGAAAUAACAUUCAGUUGAAUGUGUCCUGUAAUUAAUUUGAAUAUAUAAAUGUUCAUUGCUUUGUUAGCAUUUCUGUUAUAUGCAUUAUAUUUUGAAAUUUUUAUAUAAAGUUAAAAUGAACAUUUGAGUUUUGUGAUAAAAUUGUAUAAUUAGUUUGAUUUUGGUCUUAGCUGCCGGAGUCUCGAGGUCUGGGCACAAAGAGCGUGCCCAGUCCUCGAGGUCAUGGGCGUACCCAGUCCUCGAGGUCAUGGGGGUACCCAGUCCUCGAGGUCAAGGGCGUGCCCAGUCCUCGAGGUCAAGGGCGUACCCAUUCCUCGAGGUCAUGGGCGUACCCAGUUCUCGAGGUCAUGGGGGUACCCAGUCCUCGAGGUCAAGGGCGUGCCCAGUCUUCGAGGUCAAGGGCGUACCUAGUCCUCGACGUCAAGGGCGUACCUAGUCCUCGAGGUCAAGGGCGUGCCCAGUCCUCGAGGUCAAGGGCGUGCCCAGUCCUCGAGGUCAAGGGCGUGCCCAGUCCUCGAGGUCAAGGGCGUGCCCAGUCCUCGAGGUCAAGGGCGUGCCCAGUCCUCGAGGUCAAGGGCGUGCCCAGUCCUUGAGGUCAAGGGCGUACCCAGUCCUCGAGGUCAAGGGCGUGCCCAGUCCUCGAGGUCAAGGGCGUGCCCAGUCCUCGAGGUCAAGGGCGUGCCCAGUCCUCGAGGUCAAGGGCGUACCCAGUCCUCGAGGUCAUGGGCGUACCCAGUCCUUGAGUUCAAGGGCGUGCCCAGUCCUCGAGGUCAAGGGCGUGCCCAGUCCUUGAGGUCAAGGGCGUGCCCAGUCCUUGAGGUCAAGGGCGUGCCCAGUCCUCGAGGUCAAGGGCGUGCCCAGUCCUCGAGGUCAAGGGCGUACAUAGCCCACGAGCACUGGGUAAGAAUUGCAGGCAAGAAAGUGUUUUGACACGAUUCAAAGAUGAAAACCAAUGAACUCAAGUGACUGUCAAAAGUUUAGUAUAAAAAAUUAUAGGAGGGACUUGUGCAUCAGUCUAGCAAACACCCUAAAGAUGUACUCAGUCAAAAACUUUAUUUUAAAUGAUUGUACUGUACAUAUAUAAUUGGGAAAGUAUUUACAUAGAAAGUAAUGUACAUUAGUUACAUAAGAGAGCCACAAUACCUGCAGACCACGGAGACAGAAUCUUGGAUAAUCAGAAAGUCAGAAUCAGAAACGUAAAAGGUUAACAUAAUGUACAAAUCAUAUCAACGCUGGCUUGACUAAACAGGAGUAUUGCAAUCCUAAUCACAAAUUAUAUUUCAGGCAUAAAGAGUUACAUAUAGCUAAGAAUGAAAAAAAAUUAUAUAUUGUAUAUACACAAUAUAAAUCACAAAAUUAUGGUGAUGAGACAAUCAUUCCUUGAUGCUGGAUAUAUCAGCUCACCGUCAGCAUUCUACAUCAAUAGAUUUAUGCUAUCCUGGCUCAGAAUAACUCCAAAUACACAGCUCACUUGACAUCAAUUUGACUUCAGUUGGACUCAAGAUAAUUCAUCUCUCCCUGUAAUCCAUCUCUCUGUGGCAUUAAUUACGUAAUCAUUCCAAAUGUCCGGCCGCGGGUCCUAUUGCUUUCCCUGCAGCGGAAAACUUCCCUGUCGACCCGAUACCCCAGUAAGAAUAUUACUCAUUCUUAACUUGUAUUUCCCAACAAUUAAGAUUAUAUUUCUGGAAAAGUAUGAGUAGUCUAUAAUGACUGAGCGUCUAAACAAAAUAAACACAACGAGUGAA